rnacentral:rRNA from 1 species
UGGGGAAUAUUGGACAAUGGGGGGAACCCUGAUCCAGCGACGCCGCGUGAGUGAAGAAGUAUUUCGGUAUGUAAAGCUCUAUCAGCAGGGAAGAAAAUGACGGUACCUGACUAAGAAGCCCCGGCUAACUACGUGCCAGCAGCCGCGGUAAUACGUAGGGGGCAAGCGUUAUCCGGAUUUACUGGGUGUAAAGGGAGCGCAAACGGCUUGGCAAGUCUGAAGUGAAAGCCCGGGGCUUAACCCCGGGACUGCUUUGGAAACUGUGAAGCUAGAGUGUCGGAGAGGUAAGUGGAAUUCCCAGUGUAGCGGUGAAAUGCGUAGAUAUUGGGAGGAACACCGGUGGCGAAGGCGGCUUACUGGACGAUAACUGACGUUGAGGCUCGAAGGCGUGGGGAGCAAACAGGAUUAGAUACCCUGGUAGUCCACGCGGUAAACGAUGAAUACUAGGUGUCGGGGGACAUAGUCUUUCGGUGCCGCCGCUAACGCAUUAAGUAUUCCACCUGGGAGUACGUUCGCAAGAAUG